CAAUAAAUGGCUCUUUCGGUGCUUUUCGGUUUUCCUAAACAAUCCUUCUCAACAAAUAAUAAGCGUUGUUUAUUUCAUUUCACUUUUUAACAUGUUCACCAACAAAGGUAGUGGAGGGCUUUUGUUUGGGCGGAAGCCUUUACCAUGAAUGUAUAGCUCUUUGAUGGACAUACACGUUAGCAAUGCCAUAUCUGGGAACAUUUUGAACCUGAUUGUGAACCUGAAUCCCAUCAUCCUCGUCAGAGUCACUCUGAGACCCCAUCUGAGUCACAACACUACCAGUCUGUGUCUGUGGUUCCAGCUGAGUCACAACAGGAAUGCAACCAGGACUCCCUGAGAGACCCCUUUCAUUGGCUGUUUCCAUCUCCUGCUUUCUGGCAUCACAUAACCCUGCCUCCCAGUGCCGACGGUCAACAUCACAUGUGAGACGGAUGGAAUAAGCAAUCUGAAUCAGCCACCCGCACAAUCAAAGGUGUCAGUACAUCAAGAGCAGCAAAAAAAAUGGUGGCAAUGUUUUUCUCCCUGUUUAAAAAGUAGAACACCUUGCCAAGCAUCAGCUGAGCCCUCUAAAUCUUGAUUUUGCACAUCUGCCGAUGCACAGAGAGAAAUCAUGAUGCAUGAGAAAUGCCCUAUUUAUAAUACUCUCAUCUCCUUUCCUAUGCAGUGUGAAGAUGUAUAGGGAUACACUUUCUCACCAAAGCUCGCUUUUUCAUUUUGCUACAUCACGCUUGUUGUUAAAACCCAAGCUGGAAUCCUGGGGCAAGCAGAAAUAUUUUUCCCACCAAAUAUCUCUGCCCAAAAUGGCAAUAACAACAUCCAUAUUUUUUAAAAGAAUACCAUGUGUUUACCUUGUUUCAAAUGUGCAAUGGCAGAGGAGAAUACCCACAGAUAAAUCCACAAAUAUUAAACACAAAUAUCCCCUCUUUCAUCCAUUUUCUCAUUUACCAGUGAUUGCAGUGUUUUGAACAGACAGCUGCUAAAUUGAAUUUCUGAUAUUACAAUAUACAAGAUUUCAGCAGACAGUGCAAUAUUCGUUCAUAUAUGCGUAAAUGGAUGUGUCUCUUUAUGUGUUGUUCUAGAUAAAUGUAUGGGCAGAAAAACACAGAUACAUAUAUGAAUAUAUAUUAAUCAUCUGCUGUUUAGCAGGCCAAAUAAUUUUACACUGUUAUUUUUAUUGUCUUUUUAUACAGAGAGACUACACAUGCUUCUAAAGCUACCACCACAAUCCGCUUUUAUAAAUCUGAAAUAUAUAAGAUAGUUCUGUAGUGCAUCAGGCUGGAUCUACACUGCCCUAUAUCCCAUGAUCUGAUCCCAGAUUAUCUGAUUUGAACUAGAUUAUAUGAGUCCACUCCCAGAUAAUCUGGGAUAAACAGAUAAUCUGGGAUCAGAUCCUAGGAUAUAGGGCAGCGUAGAUCCAGCCCCAAAGCAUUCUAAAUGUCUCAGAUAUAAGAUUGGACUCACCCAAGUAAUCAACAAGCAAGCCAUCCUUUCACACUAUACAAGGAAGCAUUCUUGCACCAACCUUGUUUAAUAUCUUUACUAACGAUCAGCCACAACCACCACAAACAGAGAGCUUUAUAUGUGCUGAUAACCUUGGCCUAACAACACAAGCAAAAGACUUUGAAACAGUUGAAAUCCAACUUACUAAUGCCUUGAAAGAUCUCUCCAGCUACUGCAAAGAUAACCACCUGAAGCCUAACCCUGCCAAGACACAAGUGUGUGCUUUCCACCUACACAACCGUGAAGCCAACAGGAAAUUGAAAGUCACCUGGGAAAGUCAAGAGCUUGAACAUUGUUUCCAUCCUAAAUAUCUCGGUGUCACCUUAGAUCGAACACUAGCAUAUAGGAAACACUGCUUGGACACCAAGCACAAAGUAGCUGCGCACAAUAACAUCCUGCGGAAACUUACUGACAGCACAUGGGGUGCAGACCCAAAAUUAAUAAGAGCAUCAGCCCUAGCCUUGUCUUACUCAACUACCGAGUAUGCCUGCCCUGUUUGGCAUAAGUCUGCCCAUGCAAAGCAGGUGAACAUAGCAUUGAACGAAACAUGCAGAAAAAUCACAGAAUGUCUUAAACUUACACCUGUUGAUAAACUCUGCAAACUAACUGGCAUUGCCCCCCCCCCCGAUGUGCAAUGGGAAGUUGCUGCUAAAUGUGAGAGAAAUAAGGUUGAACACUGUGAAAGCCAUCCACUACAUGGCUACCAGCCUCCUCCCAGUAGACUCAAAUCAAGGAAAAGCUUUAUGAGAACUACCACUCCUCUUGGCAUCCCCCCAGCAACAGCAAGGGUAUCCCUCUGGGCAGCUAAACCAGGAAAUCCCAACUGGAUGCCCCCCCCCCCACGAGGGUCUUCCUCCAGGGGCAAACCAAGAAUGGGCAACUUGGAAGUCCCUGAACAGACUC